GUGAUGAAUGACAAUGAACAUGCUGAACUAGCAUAAGACAGAAGUGGGAAAAUGGAUCAACAGAAGGGGAGAAGUUCCUGGCAGAUUGACAACCCCACGGCCAAUUCACAGAGGAAAGUUCCUGAACAUUCUACAAGGCACGGUCAAAUUGAACACAAUCUGAAACUGUAAAUUCAUAUACAGAUUUAAAGGACUGUGAUAGAAGCACGCAGAAGACAGUGCACCCUUCUGAUGUGGUUCCUCUUUCUAUGUGGAGUGUGACUGAGCUGGUGGGAAAAGUGCGGAUUAUAGCAUGUUACAGGCGAAGCGUGCAUGUGGCACAGCAAAGGAAGGACUAACAGCACAGCUGGACAGAACAGAGACGCUGUCUUACAGAACACUUGUUUUACUCAUGUGUUUAUGCUACAACUGAUUACCUGCAGCCUAUUCAAAAAUCAACAAACGCAAUGAUAUUCCAGAAACCUUACAAAGACAAAAAUAAAAACAAAAUACGGGGCGGUGGGGAGGGAAUAGAUGAGAUGGAAAUAAAGAAAAAAACCUACAGCUCAAAAACUCAGGAAUGGCAACCCUGAUGAAAGAGAGGAAGUACAGGGUGUGGACCUACAGCCAGGAAAGCAGAGUCAAGCCUAGGGAAGCCGUGGGAUGCCCGCAGACCUGCCUUCUUCAUCUGAACAAGGACAGGCUGCAGCCUAGGGAAGCCGUGGGAUGCCCGCAGACCUGCCUUCUUCAUCUGAACAAGGACAGGCUGCACUGGAAACUUUCCAGUUCCUCUACUCCAGCAUCUUCAGUCAGCAAAACCUACCGCAGACAGCACAGAGGAGAAACAAAGGCACUCACGGGAAAUACUGGAGGUUUUAGGGGAGAAAAUAAUGAGCCUGGGAACAAGUCAAUUAUCCAAAGCUAUCUUUGCUUUGACUGAACUCUAAAGAAUCAUAAAAUACCUUUUCCUAGUCUAUCUUGGUAUGCUGAGUGUCAGGCAUGCCUACAGUUACACACUGAGAGCAGAGGAAGGACGUUCCUUCCUGAAGAGGAAAUGGUGGCCAAAGACAGGCCACUCAAAAGCAGCUUGUAGCACACAAGACGGCACGGUAGGCACAGUGCUAGCCCGGGGUACUCCUGGCCAGUGGCUGCUCAAAAUCUCCUGACUGGCACCUUUGUUGAUGCACAUAGGGAGGCGACAAAAUGUGGCAGACAGAGCAAGCAGAAACAGACACUGAGAAGGACAAGAGAGGUUAAGGCCAAGGAUGAGAGUGGGAAGCUGUUUAACAGUGGCAGAAAUAGAAACAACCAAAUCAGGGGGAAGCCCAGAAGCUGAGCAGACUAAUGAAAGUCACCGGUGAGCGAUCACAGGCCUCCCUCCUGCAAAGCAGCCUAUUAACUCUUACAGGGGCCCCAAACUCCAGCUAAACUGCUGAACUUCGAGCACUUGCUGGACCACCUGGCCACCUCAUGUCAGCCUCCCUCAGUCAGGGUAAUUGCAACCUGAGUUUCCUCCUUGAAUUGUAAACAGCUUAAUGUGAACCUUAAAUUUAAAUAUCAUUACUCACCUCCUUCAGGAUCCUUUCAUUAAAAAACUGUUGGAGUUUCUCAUUGCAAUAGUUGAUACAAAAUUGCUCGAAGC
rnacentral:lncRNA from 1 species